rnacentral:rRNA from 1 species
GACGAACGCUGGCGGCGUGCUUAACACAUGCAAGUCGAACGGAAAGGCCCUGCUUUUGUGGGGUGCUCGAGUGGCGAACGGGUGAGUAACACGUGAGUAACCUGCCCUUGUCUUUGGGAUAACUUCAGGAAACUGGGGCUAAUACCGGAUAGGAUCUUCUGCUGCAUGGUGGGGGUUGGAAAGUUUCGGCGGUUGGGGAUGGACUCGCGGCCUAUCAGCUUGUUGGUGGGGUAGUGGCUUACCAAGGCUUUGACGGGUAGCCGGCCUGAGAGGGUGACCGGCCACAUUGGGACUGAGAUACGGCCCAGACUCCUACGGGAGGCAGCAGUGGGGAAUAUUGCACAAUGGGCGGAAGCCUGAUGCAGCAACGCCGCGUGCGGGAUGACGGCCUUCGGGUUGUAAACCGCUUUCGCCUGUGACGAAGCGUGAGUGACGGUAAUGGGUAAAGAAGCACCGGCUAACUACGUG